rnacentral:misc_RNA from 1 species
AAGAUGCGCACGAGCGCGGUGAUUUCGGGUUUCUUAGUUUUUUUUUCCUUCCCGUUUGCCGCAGCGUGCAGCCGUGCCUUUUCCCCUCCCCGCCGACGGCAACCAGCGUGCGCGCAGCUCGCCUUGGUGCAUGUACUUGUUGCCUCGGAAACGUGUGUGUGUGUGAGACAGCGGGCGCAGGCCUCGCAUCCCAGGCUAGCAUACAUCUUCGCACACACGCCUAACACGUACUAUUCCGUUUUAACUGCAUACAAACACACACAUAGACACACCAGCGCGCACACAGGAGUGGUGGUUGAUCUACGUUGGGUCUCUUGCUUCUUCUCUCUCCAAUCCGUUCAUAUCCCGAGUUCUGUGCAGACUGGCGCAGCAAGUCUGCGAGAUAGAACAGUGCCUUGCUUGGGUUGUGAGCGCACAAGGUCGCAUACUCGCACUAAACAAAGGCAGGCGAUUCAUUGGCAGCUGAGUGGUACGAUCGACGAUGUCGAGGUAUCAAUGCUCCCUGUGCCAGUUGGAGACGCUGGAGAAUGAUCUGAACUUCUGCGUCUGCUGCCGCGCUGCCGUCUGCGCGAAGUGUACUCUAGCAUGCUACCCGAACCGCAAGAGCGUAGGCCUCUGCGUGCGGUGCACACCACCCGACUACGGCUUCGCCUGCGGGCGGUGCCGCCGGCACAUUUCGUACGGAGACAUUGAAUUCUUCUGCGACAUGUGCGCCGUCCCCAUCUGCUUUACUUGUGUAGCGAGCGGUACUAGCUUCGAGUGUGGUCAGCUGAAAUGUAGUCUGUGCUGCGAGUGCCCUAUGUCACAGGCACCGCGUAAUCUGGUGGUCCGCCACGAGGUGGAUGACGCCAUGCUGCGCCAGCUCCCGAUACCGCUCGUUUCAAGUGCGACACCGUUGGCGGCGCCGCCUCCGCAAGCGCGCGCGGCGGCCGCGGCGGUGGCAGCGACAAAGAGCACCAAAUACCGAAAGCUGUUUGGGCGAGAGAAGCUCGGCGAGGGUGCGCAGGGUGUUGUGUACAAGUGUCACACGGAGGAGAACGAGGUGGUUGUAGUGAAGGAGAUGGUGUUCAACGAUACAGAUGUCACCGCCUUCGAGGCACAGGCACGGCAAGUCGAACGCAUGCGCCAGCUGAACCACCCUCAUCUCAUCCGCUACCUCGAUGUGUCGGUCCAGAAGGACCCACUACGCAUCUGCGUGGUUAUGCCUUUCUACAGCGAGGGCGAUUUGAAAAAGUUCAUUGAAAGGCAGCGCAAACCGGUGACGGAGGUAAAGCUGUGCUCCAUUGUUCUGCAGAUUGCCGGCGCCCUGAACUACCUGCAUCGACAAGAACCUCCGCUUGUUCAUCGAGACAUCAAGCCUGAGAACAUCCUGCUGCUGAACCACGAGGAGCAGGUUCUGUUGAUGGAUCUGGAUCUCUGUCGAACAGUAGACGUAACGGCGAGCGUCAUCAAGCGGCGCGAGUUGUCGCCAACGUAUGAGUACCGCGCACCAGAGCUGGAGAAGAGUCACGGCGAUACCAAAGCGGACGUGUUUAGCCUUGGUGUGGUGAUGUUCGUGCUUGCCACACUGCCAGACUUUCCAUGCGUGCGUACAGACUCCGGCGAGAUGCUGGUUUUCUCUGCCUCUAAGUGGUCUCCAUCGUCACUGAAGCGCGCUAUUCAGCGCGAAAUCAGGCGUGUGCAGCGGUACACCUACUCGGAGGAGUUUAUCCGCUUAGUCGUGGCGAUGCUUGUCCACCAGCCCGCCGCACGUCCCACGUCGGGGGCGGUCAUCUACCGCCUGCAGAAGAUCAUGGAGCAACGCCUGAUGGAGGGAAAGGAGUAGUGGCUGCGAAGGUGGAGAAGGCGGCACUGAGGAACGUCGAAAGCUGAAGAUGGGCGAUGAUGCCUUUAUUUGUGCGGACUUGAUGUGCAGGUGCGUCCUUUUUUGUUGUUGGUGGCGUGUGCGUGAGGGGCAGCGGAGGUGAGAGGUGCAUCGAGGAUGAUGGAUGAAGAGACGUAGACCUACACACAUCCCGCAUGGCAGCUUCACUCCCUCUCCCACCCUCCCUACCUUGCGUUGUGCUUUCUGCUGUGGUUUCUCACACGCUCUUUUUCUUGUCGCUGCUUUCAGCCAUUGUUUCGGUGACAGAGGAAGCAGUGCUGCCGUUGUCUUGACAGACGCCUAUUUCGUUGCGUGCUCAUCACGCCGCCGCCGUUUCUAUAACAUACUCACUUGCAGGACUGCAGCAUGGAAGUGGUUGGGUUUUCCUUUAGUUCGUACUUUCUUUUAUGUGGUUGGGCCUCCCUGUGUGUACCAGUCCGCUGCUGCUGUUUUUUCCUUGUUUCUUUUCUCCUGUCUCCCGCAGAAACGAAAAGUAGACAAGCUCGGCGUGUGAUGGACCCUUUCCCUGCUCCUCUGAGGCAUGCACGCCCAUCCCCCUUGACCCCACGCCUGUGUACUCCUCUUGCUAUACAAUCCUUCUCCCGCUAAACGUAUAGACAAGCAAAGAUGUACGCAUGCCUCCAGCUGUCCUUGCACAUCCCAUUGCCUUGUCUUCGUUUGCCUCUAUGUCUUCGGGUCUGUGAGCUCUCCCUUUUCUCGCCCGCUCGCCCCGGAGUCAUCAGUUGUGUUUCUGGAGAAGCUGCACCCAUCUCCCUCCCCUUGCCUUUCUAUCUGGGUGUUGCCCACGUCCCCAUUCUCGUUGCCUCCCCCUUUUUUUUUCAG